UACCAGCACCCCGAGUGGUCGGGACGAUUAUUGGGCCUAAAGCAUCCGUAGCCGGCCUUACAAGUCCUCCGUUAAAUCCAGCUGCUCAACAGAUGGGCUGCGGAGGAUACUAUAAGACUAGGAGGCAGGAGAGGCAAGCGGUACUCAGUGGGUAGGGGUAAAAUCCGUUGAUCCAUUGAAGACCACCAGUGGCGAAGGCGGCUUGCCAGAACGCGCUCGACGGUGAGGGAUGAAAGCUGGGGGAGCAAACCGG
rnacentral:rRNA from 1 species